GAUGAACGCUGGCGGCGUGCUUAACACAUGCAAGUCGAACGGAAAGGCCCAAGCUUGCUUGGGUACUCGAGUGGCGAACGGGUGAGUAACACGUGGGUGAUCUGCCCUGCACUUCGGGAUAAGCCUGGGAAACUGGGUCUAAUACCGGAUAGGACCACAUUUUGGAUGGUGUGGUGGAAAGUUUUUCGGUGUGGGUUGAGCUCGCGGCCUAUCAGCUUGUUGGUGGGGUAAUGGCCUACCAAGGCGUCGACGGGUAGCCGGCCUGAGAGGGUGUACGGCCACAUUGGGACUGAGAUACGGCCCAGACUCCUACGGGAGGCAGCAGGGGGGAAUAUUGCACAAUGGGCGCAAGCCUGAUGCAGCGACGCCGCGUGGGGGAUGACGGCCUUCGGGUUGUAAACUCCUUUCGCUAGGGACGAAGCGUUAUGUGACGGUACCUGGAGAAGAAGCACCGGCUAACUACGUG
rnacentral:rRNA from 1 species